AUACGUAGGGGGCGAGCGUUGUCCGGAAUGAUUGGGCGUAAAGGGCGCGUAGGCGGCCCGGUAAGUCUGGAGUGAAAGUCCUGUUUUUAAGAUGGGAAUUGCUUUGGAUACUGUCGGGCUUGAGUGCAGGAGAGGUAAGUGGAAUUCCCAGUGUAGCGGUGAAAUGCGUAGAGAUUGGGAGGAACACCAGUGGCGAAGGCGACUUACUGGACUGUAACUGACGCUGAGGCGCGAAAGUGUGGGGAGCAAACAGGAUUAGAUACCCUGGUAGUCCACGCCGUAAACGAUGAUUACUAGGUGUAGGGGGUAUCGACUCCCUCUGUGCCGCAGUUAACACAAUAAGUAUUCCGCCUGGGGAGUACGGCCGCAAGGUUGAAACUCAAAUGAAUUGGCGGGG
rnacentral:rRNA from 1 species